AGAGUUUGAUCCUGGCUCAGGAUGAACGCUGUCGGCGUGCUUAACACAUGCAAGUCGAACGGGCUCAUAUUGAAACCUAGUGAUUUAUGAGUUAGUGGCGGACGGGUGAGUAACGCGUGGAAAACCUGCCGUAUACUGGGGGAUAACACUUAGAAAUAGGUGCUAAUACCGCAUAAGCGCACAGCUUCGCAUGAAGUGGUGUGAAAAACUCUGGUGGUAUACGAUGGUUCCGCGUCUGAUUAGCUUGUUGGUGGGGUAAUGGCUCACCAAGGCGACGAUCAGUAGCCGGCCUGAGAGGGUGAACGGCCACAUUGGGACUGAGACACGGCCCAAACUCCUACGGGAGGCAGCAGUGGGGAAUAUUGCACAAUGGGGGAAACCCUGAUGCAGCGACGCCGCGUGAGUGAAGAAGUAUUUCGGUAUGUAAAGCUCUAUCAGCAGGGAAGAAAUAGCGACCUUUGGGUCGCCAGACGGUACCUGAUUAAGAAGCCCCGGCUAACUACGUGCCAGCAGCCGCGGUAAUACGUAGGGGGCAAGCGUUAUCCGGAUUUACUGGGUGUAAAGGGAGCGUAGACGGCAGCACAAGUCUGAAGUGAAAUGCCGGGGCUUAACCCCGGAACUGCUUUGGAAACUGUGCAGCUAGAGUGCAGGAGAGGUAAGUGGAAUUCCUAGUGUAGCGGUGAAAUGCGUAGAUAUUAGGAGGAACACCAGUGGCGAAGGCGGCUUACUGGACUGUAACUGACGUUGAGGCUCGAAAGCGUGGGGAGCAAACAGGAUUAGAUACCCUGGUAGUCCACGCUGUAAAC
rnacentral:rRNA from 1 species